rnacentral:rRNA from 1 species
AACCCUCAAGCUCAGCUUGGUAUUGAGUCCAUGUCAGUAAUGGCAGGCUCUAAAAUUAGUGCCGGCGCCGCUGGGUCCUGAACGUAGUAAUAUCUCUCGUUACAGGUUCUCAGUGUGCUUCUGUCAAAACCCAAAUUUUCUAUGGUU